AUGCUUUCGAGUGAAAUGGAUUUUAUCGCCUAGAGAGAAGCGUCGCGGCUGAUUAGCUUGUUGGUAAGGUAAGAGCUUACCAAGGCGACGAUCAGUAUCUGGUUUGAGAGGACGAUCAGACACACUGGAACUGAGACACGGUCCAGACUCCUACGGGAGGCAGCAGUGGGGGAAUUUUCCGCAAUGGGCGAAAGCCUGACGGAGCAAUAUCGCGUGAGGGAAGAAAGCCUACUGGGUUGUAAACCUCUUUUUUUCAGGGAGGAAAAAAAUGACGUGUACCUGAAGAAUAAGCAUCGGCUAACUCCGUG
rnacentral:rRNA from 1 species